rnacentral:rRNA from 1 species
GCAUCGAUGAAGAACGCAGCAAAAUGCGAUACGUAAUGUGAAUCGCAGUUCUCGUGAAUCAUCAAAUCUUUGAACGCACUUUGCACUUCCAGGUAACUGGAAGUAUAUCUGUUCGAGUAUCAUUUUGUUCUCAUUAAAUAAUCUUUUGUGAUUGUUUAAUGGAUUUGAGUGUUCAGUCUGGGCGGCUUUUGCAAGACUGUCACUUUAAAUAUAAGGGUUUGCAAGUUAUGUAAUUGUAAAAAGACACAUUUUGUUUCCUUGACUUGUUCAAAAUAGGCCUUGGAAACUUUGUCUUUUAGACACACAUUUACAAAAAAUAACUUAAGUUUCGAACAAACUCUAGGUUUCGUGGGGCAUAAAGACUUUGUGUCUUUCACUUUGAAUCUCGAAUCAGAUAAGAUUACCCGCUGAACUUAAGCAUAUCAAUAAGCGGAGGA